rnacentral:rRNA from 1 species
UACGUAGGGGGCAAGCGUUGUCCGGAAUUACUGGGCGUAAAGCGCACGUAGGCGGCUAUUCAAGUCAGGGGUGAAAGCCCGGGGCUCAACCCCGGAACUGCCCUUGAAACUAGAUAGCUAGAAUCUUGGAGAGGUCAGUGGAAUUCCGAGUGUAGAGGUGAAAUUCGUAGAUAUUCGGAAGAACACCAGUGGCGAAGGCGACUGACUGGACAAGUAUUGACGCUGAGGUGCGAAAGCGUGGGGAGCAAACAGG